rnacentral:rRNA from 1 species
AAAUAGAUACCCCGGUAGUCCACGCCGUAAACGAUGAGUGCUAAGUGUUGGGGGUUUCCGCCCCUCAGUGCUGGCAGCUAACGCAUUAAGCACUCCGCCUGGGGAGUACGGUCGCAAGACUGAAACUCAAAGGAAUUGACGGGGGCCCGCACAAGCGGUGGAGCAUGUGGUUUAAUUCGAAGCAACGCGAAGAACCUUACCAGGUCUUGACAUCCCGGUGACCACUAUGGAGACAUAGUUUCCCCUUCGGGGGCAACGGUGACAGGUGGUGCAUGGUUGUCGUCAGCUCGUGUCGUGAGAUGUUGGGUUAAGUCCCGCAACGAGCGCAACCCUUAUUCUUAGUUGCCAUCAUUCAGUUGGGCACUCUAAGGAGACUGCCGGUGAUAAACCGGAGGAAGGUGGGGAUGACGUCAAAUCAUCAUGCCCCUUAUGACCUGGGCUACACACGUGCUACAAUGGACGGUACAAACGGUUGCCAACCCGCGAGGGGAGCUAAUCCGAUAAAACCGUUCUCAGUUCGGAUUGUAGGCUGCAACUCGCCUACAUGAAC